rnacentral:rRNA from 1 species
CCCUUAGAUGUUCUGGGCCGCACGCGUGCUACACUGAGUGGAUCAGCGGGUCAGGUUGCGCGAAAGCGUUUCCUAAUCUUUAAAUCCGCUCGUGAUGGGGAUUGACGGUUGCAAUUUUCUGUCAUGAACGAGGAAUACCUUGUAAGCGCGGGUCAUCAUCCCGCGCUGAAUACGUCCCUGCCCUUUGUACACACCGCCCGUCGCACCUACCGAUUGAAUGGUCCGGUGAAGUCUUCGGACUGGCAGCAUGUAUGUGCUUGCCGGGAAGUUGAGUAAACCUUACCAUUUAGAGGAAGGUGAAGUCGUAACA